CCCGGUGCUUGCACAGAGGCAGGAAAGGGAACCUGGAGCUCUGCUUGUCUGCAGCCAGCAGAAGGAUGGAGAGGCAGAAACCACGGGGCACUGACUGGAGCACUUGCUUGGCAGCAGGAUGCCGAGUGCCUCGGCCAGGAUAAGCAGAUGUUUGAAUUUCCCCAAAGCUGAAAGAAGCUGUGGGAAUACAGCCUGGGUGGCACCAUGGGACAGCUGAGUGACAACACAGGAUUGUGUGUCUCCAGGUCACUGAAGGACUGGCUCUGAGAGCAGAUCAGGAUGUGGCUGCAUGGACCGACCAAAGAAGGAAACCGUUAUGAGUAGUAAUAAUAAUAAUAAUAAUAAUAAUGUUAUAUAAAAAUAUCAGAAAUUGUAAUAAAAUUAUGCCUGUUCUAGUAAAGGGAAGAUCUGGUUUGUAUCUCCCUUCCCAGUCAGGAGAAAUAUUAAAUUUAACAAUUUUAGAUGGGUAUUUAGUUUUUUUAAGAGAAUUUAAAUGCUAUCCAUGGUGCUGGUACAGGGGUGGAGAGGUUCCCCAAAUAUCUGGUGAGGGAUCUGGUGCCAUGAGUGGGAACUGAUGGAUCAGAGGGGAUGGGCAAGCACAGAGACCCUGCUUUGGUAGUCACUAGUCUGAAAAUCCCAUGAAAAACUAAUGAGAAUUUGGGAUUUUCCAAAAUUGGAACAACUUUUGCCUGAAAAUCUCACUGAAAUGAGGUUUGAUUUAAAACCCCAUGAAAGAGUUCAAUUAGUUAAGGGUUUCACCAUGGCCUGGGAUUCACUGUUGAGAUUUUUUAAGCCCUUCAGACAUAUAGGUCUUCAAUAUUUCCAUUUUUGAUGGAUUUGCAAAGCAGCAAACCCAUUGUUGCUACCUGUGCAGGCAGGAGCCUUGAUAAACUCCCUUCAAGCUCUUGUCAUGCAAAAGGUUCUGAGCACAAGGAGGAACAUUGCAUAUCUCUGCCUGCCAAAAGGAUCCUUGGCAAGCUGUGCCUGAGCAAUUCUGAUUUGUUUCCAUUUAAUUAAUGAACACUUUCCUGCUUUGUGAUUAUUGUCCUUGCCUGAAGUUGUUCCCAUUAUAGAGAUGAAUAAAUAGUUCUUGACAUUA